rnacentral:rRNA from 1 species
GUUAGGAAUAUUGGACAAUGGGCGAAAGCCUGAUCCAGCCAUGCCGCGUGAACGAUGAAGGCCUUCGGGUUGUAAAGUUCUUUAGCCGAUGAUUAUAAUGACUGUAGUCGGAAAAUAAGCCCCGGCUAACUUCGUGCCAGCAGCCGCGGUAAUACGAAGGGGGCGAGCGUUAUUCGGAAUCACUGGGCGUAAAGCGUUCGUAGGCGGUCUCGUAAGUUAGGAGUGAAAGCCCAGGGCUCAACCUUGGAAUUGCUCUUAAUACUGCAAGGCUAGAAUCUCGGAGAGGAUAGCGGAAUUUCCAGUGUAGCAGUGAAAUGCGUAGAUAUUGGAAGGAACACCAGUGGCGUAAGCGGCUAUCUGGACGAGUAUUGACGCUGAGGCACGAAAGCGUGGGGAUCAAACAGGAUUAGAUACCCUAGUAGUCC